UAGGGAAUCUUCGGCAAUGGACGAAAGUCUGACCGAGCAACGCCGCGUGAGUGAAGAAGGUUUUCGGAUCGUAAAACUCUGUUGUUAGAGAAGAACAAGGACGUUAGUAACUGAACGUCCCCUGACGGUAUCUAACCAGAAAGCCACGGCUAACUACGUGCCAGCAGCCGCGGUAAUACGUAGGUGGCAAGCGUUGUCCGGAUUUAUUGGGCGUAAAGCGAGCGCAGGCGGUUUCUUAAGUCUGAUGUGAAAGCCCCCGGCUCAACCGGGGAGGGUCAUUGGAAACUGGGGGACUUGAGUGCAGAAGAGGAGAGUGGAAUUCCAUGUGUAGCGGUGAAAUGCGUAGGUAUAUGGAGGAACACCAGUGGCGAAGGCGGCUCUCUGGUCUGUAACUGACGCUGAGGCUCGAAAGCGUGGGGAGCAAACAGG
rnacentral:rRNA from 1 species